rnacentral:rRNA from 1 species
GACGAACGCUGGCGGCGUGCUUAACACAUGCAAGUCGAACGCAGUGGCGAACGGGUGAGUAACGCGUAAUCACCCUGCCCUUCAGAGGGGGACAACAGUUGGAACCGACUGCUAAUACCGCAUACUGAAGGAGGGGCUUUCGUCUGCUUAGCUAGGUGGAGGGGUAACGGCCAACCACGGCGAUGAUCAGUAGCCUGUCUGUGAGGGUGAACGGCCACAUUGGGACUGAGACACGGCCCAGACUCCUACGGGAGGCAGCAGUGGGGAAUCUUCCGCAAUGGACGAAAGUCUGACGGAGCAACGCCGCGGGAGUGAUGACGGCCUUCGGGGUGUAAAGCUCUGUUAAUCGGGACGCGGUACCUGAAUAGAAAGCCACGGCUAACUACGUGCCAGCAGCCGCGGUAAUAC